UGCAACUAUCUGCCAAAGUUUAAACCAAGUGGGUGUAAACAAUUAUAGGCAACUGUGUACAGCCCUCAAUAAUGAGAAAGAUCAUACCAUAUAGGUGUAUAUAGAAGGCCCUGACAUCAAAAAUAUUAAAAAAAACUAUUCAAUUGAGAAAAACUAAAUGCCUUACUUAUAGAAAAAAUAAUUUACAAAAAAUAUGUUACAGGCAUGAAUCAACAACAACCAUGAAUCUUUUCUAGAAAACUGUAAAUAAAUAUGCCAUUUAGUAGUGCCAAG
rnacentral:lncRNA from 1 species